CCUCGGGUGGCAGCAGUGGGGAAUAUUGCACAAUGGGGGAAACCCUGAUGCAGCGACGCCGCGUGAGUGAAGAAGUAUUUCGGUAUGUAAAGCUCUAUCAGCAGGGAAGAAAAUGACGGUAGCUGACUAAGAAGCACCGGCUAACUAAGUGCCAGCAGCCGAGGUAAUACGUAGGGGGCAAGCGUUAUCCGGAUUUACUGGGUGUAAAGGGAGGGUAGACGGCAGCGCAAGUCUGAAGUGAAAUGCCGGGGCUUAACCCCGGCACUGCUUUGGAAACUGUGCAGCUGGAGUGCAGGAGGGGUAAGUGGAAUUCCUAGUGUAGCGGUGAAAUGCGUAGAUAUUAGGAGGAACACCAGUGGCGAAGGCGGCUUACUGGACUGUAACUGACGUUGAGGCUCGAAAGCGUGGGGAGCAAACAGGAUUAGAUACCCCAGUAGUC
rnacentral:rRNA from 1 species